ACCUCUCUCUCCAGCUGGAAAGUACCAGGGCCACUUGUGACUGCUUGUGACUUGUGACCGUACCCCCCCAGGGCCAGAGGCGUAAGUCACUUCAUCCACCUGCUCCUCUAGUUAUCAGAUAAAGGCUGCUCCCUAAAAGGAGAUGAGGUUACUUCCGACCCACUGUGAGCUGGGGCAGAGUACAUAACCCUCACAUCCCGCCCCCGCUCUCCUCUACGAGUUGUCCCUAAAUGACCACUGAGGGGAAAUGAGUAAACCAGACAGUGUCCAAUGACUCUGAGCCUAAGAACGCCAUGUGGCUACUUCCGUGCCGUGGCUGAUGUGGGCUUCUGCCUCCGCCCUGAGACACAGUGGGGGAGGCUUGGAUCCUCCCUCCCUCCGGCAGGUAAGGGGGUGCCUGCCGUGUGUACUGGCCUCACCUGAGUGGCAAUGAUGUACUGGACCCCACCAGGGCUGGGCUCCACCGCCAGCGCGGCCUUCAGCUCAUCAGAGAGAAGAACAGGUGCCACCUGCAGCCCCUUUAGGAACCUGGGGAAGAAGGCAGAAGCGUGUUCAUGAAGUUGUGCACGGAAAGCCCAGAAGAGCAGCUCCUCAGAUACGGUGGUCUGGGUGGGCUAGGGAUGGCGCGGGUGAGGAGCGCAGGGGUCUACUAGGAGGGAGGGUUUUUUUUUUGUUUUUUUAGGGAUCAUGAGAAGAUGGAGAAGUGGCCCACACAUUCACAUUCAGACCAGUCUCAGAAGAUAGACCCAUGCCAGGAAGAGACAAGAAACCACACACUCAGCUGGGCGUGGUGGCACACGCCUUUAAUCCCAGCACUCAGGAGGCAGAGGCAGGUGGAUUUCUGAGUUCGAGGCCAGCCUGGUCUACAGAGUGAGUUCCAGGACAGCCAGGUCUAUACAGAGAAAACCCUGUCUCGAAAAACCAAAAAAAGAAAAAAAAAAAAGAAACCACAUACUCACAGGUUCAGACUUGUUCGGUAUGGAAGAAACUGGGGCUUUGCUUAAAUCCCCCACUUCAAAUUUAUGAGGUACCGAACCUGCUCAUCAGAGUGCCUCAUGCAUUGAUUUCCUAGUAAAACUCACUUGUGGGCUAGAACGGUGGCUCAGAGAUUGAGAACACUCUUGCAGGGAUCCCGGGUCAGGUGCCCAGCACCUACAUGGCAGCCCACAACCAUGUGUGACUCCAGUUCCGGUGGCUAUGAUGCCCUCUUCUGGCUGUUAAGGGUACUGCACACACACAUGGAGAACUAACUUUUUUUUGUUGUUUAAAGAUUUAAUUAUUUAUCUUUAUGUAUGUGUGUGCACUGCAGCUGUCUUCAGACACAGCAGAAGAGGACAUCGGAUCACAUUACAGGUAGUUGUGAGCCACCACGUGGUUGCUGGGAUUUGAACUCAGGACCUCCAGGAGAGCAGUCAGUGCUCUUAACCAGUGAGCCAUCUCACCAGACCCAGCAUUAACAUUCACGCAGGCAAAAUACUCAGACACAUUAAAAAAAAGUCUUAAAAUAUUUUAAAUAAAUAAAUAAAGCUCAAGUCAGUUUUUGCUGAAGCAGGGCCCCUGGGCUUCUAGGGAUAUUAUUCUCCUUAAAAACAAAAAUUUUGUUUUUCCCUGGGUGGUGGUGAUGCACACACCUUUCAUUCCAGCACUCGGGAGGCAGAGAUAGAUGUUUGGGGCCAGUCUGAUCUACAGAGUAAGUUCCAGCACAUCUGGGGCUACACAGAGAAACUCGUGAAACAAAACAAAACAAAACAAAACCCCAAAAAUCAGAAUUUUUUUUUUUUUAAAUUCAGCUUUUUGAGAUAGGGUGUCACACUGUAGCCCAGGCUGGCUUGGGACUGAGCUCCUGAGCAGAUGUGAGGCACCUCACCCAGCUGAGAUGUCAUUUCUUAGAAGGGGGAUGUGGCAUUUGUUCACACACCCACGACGUGUGGCUACCAGGAGAGUUUCAAUGUUGCCGCGUGCACGUGCAGUGGCUGUGUCCCCACGGGAUGAUCCGUGUGCCUGAGAGCACUGCACUUAGCGCUGUGACUACCAUAUAUUUCUAGAAUGUUCUGUGCCUCUCAAUUCGGGAAGGAGGGUACACACUCACUUGUCUCCAUUGGCUGCAGGGGGAAAGCUGUGUCUUACAGCUGCCACAAACUCAGCCACAGUGUCCUCCAGAGUGAAGAUCACAGCGUUGGGGCCAGCAUCAAAUGUGUAUGCCACCUGGAACCAAAGCGUGUCUGUCUCCAACUCUUAGCUCGGCACCCUUGGCUCUGACCCUCUACCUGCUGGGGGACCUAGGGUCUCCCAGAGCUGUAUGGAGCCCAUGCAAUCAAACCAAGGAGUGGUAUCAACCAGGCACCCUGGUGUGAGUCACCUCUGCCUGGAGUUCAGGGACAGGCUACCAGGCUUCGAAUUGGGCAAGACACAGAAACUUAGAACAAGCCAGAACUGUCGGGUGGAGCUUGUCUGUGCCGUGUCAGCAAGGUCCUAAGGCCCUGGCCACCCGCACCCUCUUCAGUAAUGCUGGUGGCUGCAGCGGUGGGAGGGAGCACUGGCGGCGGCGGCGGCAGCAGCGGUGGCCGCCCACGUUCCCCACAGCCGGCCCUCUGUAUGCCUGCACCUCCCCCCACGCCCUGUCACCUUCGUCUGCCCCUGGUGGGUGUUGAAGCGGUGGACUAGCUGGAUGAUGCGCCUGGAGGUGUCAUUGAGGUAGGAGAUCGGUGGGAAGGUGUCCAGGCAGGUGGCAUGAAACUGGUUGCUAUCCUUCAUGGUCAGCUGGGCAAAGCCCUGAAAGUCCUGCUCUUGGAUGCAGCGGGUCAUCUCCUUCAUGCGCUCAGGCACAACAGACUCAGCCCGGAACUGCAAGGUGGGUGGGUGGGUGUGUGGGCGGGCACACUCUCUGGCAAUAGGUCUAGGCCCAGGACCUCUGGAGCCACCCACCCACCCACCAGGGGAGCCUGACCUUGCCUGCUGCAUUCUACUCCUCACCCUGCAGACCCACCUUGGGGGCAGGGCUCUGGUCUCUCCCGUCCCCAGCAAGCCUACCUUGAGCAGGGUGCUGGUCUCCACGCUGGUCUGCAUGCCCACUGUACUGCCCGUCUGCUUCUUGUCGGCGCUCACCUGAAUGGGAGGUAGUGCUGAGCCUGGCCCGCAGGGAACCCAGGACCACAGACUAUCACUUGGUCCUGCCCUCUGCCAUCCCAACCCUGAAGUCCUCGACUGGGAGGGG